AAAAAAGAUCCCAUCAUGUCUAACAAACGAUCUGUCUGCAUUUUGUUACGAGAACUCGCCAAGCCAAUAGAUGACGCUGCUGUUAUGUAUAUCUGAGUGUGAUACUAUAUAGUACUAGUGAGCCAAGUUAGGCAUUACUUACUAUGCACUGAAUGGAGCUGUAUGCAUGCUACAGAGUGAUGAUGAAGUAAAGACUUUAUAAUCAACAUUACCUUGCUCUUGUAUAGAAUAAACACCAUUCAAAACAAACAUGGUGUCAGAAGUCAGAACCACAUAGGUAUAUCCUUGACGAAUCAAAAUAUCAAAACAACACAGGGAUAAAUGCACAGUAGGAAGGGACAAGCUAACCAGCUACACAAAAUAAUGACAACAAUGGCUUACCCAGUAAUUCCAGUACCAGAGCCUAUGGACAUGAAAGGCGAUACAUACAACAACUGGACAUUCUUUCCAGCGCAAUAGGAAAACUAUGAGAAAGCUACCGGUCUGGACUAAAAAGAAUACAAAGUCUGCAUAGCAACUCUGCUAAGUGUGAUGGGAAAGGAAUGACAUCUCUUACAGCGUCAUCUUCAUAUGCCCGAAGCAGAGAACUGACCCAGUAAAAAUGAUACAGAAACAGUUUGAGCAGCUGGGAGGGACUGCUGCGUGAGGACUGGGCCGCCUGAUCUCGGUGGGCGGAGCCGGGAGGGUGGUCAGUGAAAUGGGACACACAUGGGCUCGGGUGUGUCCCAGGAUAAAUGCACCUCUUCCCCAUUCAUUGAGGAAACUCUCUCCGUGCAGACACAGACGGAUUUUGGUUGUUCCAUUUUUUUUGUGGCUAUUUGGCUUAUUUGCCGGUUCGUGACAAGUGGGGGCUCGUCCAGGAUCCUAAGCUUGUUUGAGUUAUAAUGUUUGGUGUCCGGUACUGGUUUCGUUUGUUUGGUAAACUUGCCACUGCGGUGGAUAGUUCGUUGUGUUCUGCAUUGGAGAAAGUACAUUGGUUAGUUUCCAGGCCCCUGCCCAGGCUGAAGACUCCGGCUCUACUCGCUGUUGGGACAUCGGUCCAAGGAGCUGAAUUCAGAGGACCCGGACCCGUAAAUUCACCGUGAAGAUCUGAAGAACCAUGGAAAUAUAUUUUGCAGGCAUCGGCAGGCCACGGCACUCGCUCUGGCGCACUGCGGGGCAGAGGUCAUGGCUGUCACAAGCACGCAGGCUGACCUGGACAGCAUUCUGCUGGAGGUACCCCACCCCCUGCACCACCCGUUGCUUGCUCUAUUGUCCCUCUAUAGGACCUCCUCUCUACCAGCCCUAUACACAUACCAGAGGCUGACUAGUUUCCCCGCUGCUCUCUUCAUCUCCCUGGCCCAUUGUUUCUGCUCCGCUCCAUGACGAGAGAUGAGAGAUUCGUUGUGGUGAUUCUCCUGCUGUCCGUUCUCUCUGUGUGAUUGGUUCUGGUGGUCCGUUCUCUCUGUGUGAUUGGUUCUGAU
rnacentral:lncRNA from 1 species